rnacentral:rRNA from 1 species
CCUACGGGAGGCAGCAGUGGGGAAUUUUGGACAAUGGGCGCAAGCCUGAUCCAGCCAUGCCGCGUGUGUGAAGAAGGCCUUCGGGUUGUAAAGCACUUUCGGCCGGAACGAAAUCGCGCGGGUUAAUAGUCCGCGUGGAUGACGGUACCGGAAGAAGAAGCACCGGCUAACUACGUGCCAGCAGCCGCGGUAAUACGUAGGGUGCGAGCGUUAAUCGGAAUUACUGGGCGUAAAGGGUGCGCAGGCGGCGUCGCAAGUCAGGCGUGAAAUCCCCGGGCUUAACCUGGGAACUGCACUUGAAACUACGAUGCUGGAGUAUGGCAGAGGGAGGUGGAAUUCCACGUGUAGCGGUGAAAUGCGUAGAGAUGUGGAGGAACACCGAUGGCGAAGGCAGCCUCCUGGGCCAAUACUGACGCUCAUGCACGAAAGCGUGGGGAGCAAACAGGAUUAGAUACCCUGGUAGUCCACGCCCUAAACGAUGAUGACUAGUUGUUGGAGGAGUUAAAUCCUUUAGUAACGCAGCUAACGCGAGAAGUCAUCCGCCUGGGGAGUACGGUCGCAAGAUUAAAACUCAAAGGAAUUGACGG